GGGCGAUUAGCUCAGAUGGCUAGAGCACCGCCUUCACACGGCGGGGGUCGUUGGUUCGAGUCCAAUAUCGCCCA
rnacentral:tRNA from 2 species